GACGAACGCUGGCGGCGUGCUUAACACAUGCAAGUCGAACGGAAAGGCCCUGCUUUUGUGGGGUGCUCGAGUGGCGAACGGGUGAGUAACACGUGAGUAACCUGCCCUUGACUUUGGGAUAACUUCAGGAAACUGGGGCUAAUGCCGGAUAGGAGCUCCUGCUGCAUGGUGGGGGUUGGAAAGUUUCGGCGGUUGGGGAUGGACUCGCGGCUUAUCAGCUUGUUGGUGGGGUAGUGGCUUACCAAGGCUUUGACGGGUAGCCGGCCUGAGAGGGUGACCGGCCACAUUGGGACUGAGAUACGGCGCAGACUCCUACGGGAGGCAGCAGUGGGGAAUAUUGCACAAUGGGCGGAAGCCUGAUGCAGCAACGCCGCGUGCGGGAUGACGGCCUUCGGGUUGUAAACCGCUUUCGCCUGUGACGAAGCGUGAGUGACGGUAAUGGGUAAAGAAGCACCGGCUAACUACGUG
rnacentral:rRNA from 1 species